GAACUCUGAGGAGAACCACACGGACAAAACAACUGAAGACACUCAUGAGGUCCAAACAGCUUUAUUAGACCAGGAGGAGAUCAGACAACUGAUACCUGAGGAGGACCAGGCGGACAAAACAACUGAAGACACUCAUGAGAACUCUGAGGAGAACCAGGCGGACAAAACAACUGAAGACACUCAUGAGAACUCUGAGGAGAACCAGGCGGACAAAACAACUGAAGACACUCAUGAGGUCCAAACACCUUUAUUAGACCAGGAGGAGAUCAGACAACUGACAUCUGAGGAGGACCAGGCGGACAAAACAACUGAAGACACUCAUGAGGUGAAAACACCUUCAGUAGAACAGGAGAAGAUCAGACAUCUGACACCUGAGGAAACAAACCAACUAAAUCCAUCUAUAACUGGAAGAAAACUUUGUUUUGAUGACUCAUUUAGUAUGUAGUACGAAGACAGUCAGACCUGACAGUCAGACCCUGUUUUUGACAACUUCUCUGUGUCUGGCACACAAACUACUACUGAAUCUAUGUCAUUGUCCUGUUUAUGUAUGUCAUGCAAAUAUGUAUGUGUAUCUAUGUAUGUAAGUCGUGCAGUGUUGUGGGUAACGCGUUACAAAGCGAUGUGAUGAUGCUGUGCCCUGGGAGUCCCAUUCUUACUGCUAAGAGAAAUCGACUGUCGGACAGACGUUUGGAAAAUCUUCUGUUACGUUUUAAUCACUACUUCGAAGAGUAAAUGUAAGUGGACAAUGGUAAAGUGCAUUUAGACCUGUGACACUUGAAUAGUUUUUUCAUAGUUUGGCUGUUUGUCAUCUGUCUGUGUGCCAGUGAGCGGUUUUAUUGUUUGUGUUAUUCGGCCUGUAAUCAUU